GGCUCAGUUAGAAGAGAGAGAGGGCCACAUCUGAGCAACACAGAGGUACUCAAGGGGAGACUCUUAGGCACCAUUACAUACAAGUUUAGACUCUCCUUUGCCUACAUAAAUAUUUUGUAUUUGGACAGUCAAGGUGCACAAUUUGAAGUGACAACCCCUAUGUGUCUUGGACAUUAAUGUGCAUAAUUGCACAGAGUUAAUUCUAUCGGAAUAAGGUCCUGCUCCCCCUCAGACCACUUUUGCAGUACAGCAAGGGUACUGGCCACCAAGGCCUUUUUUUGGCCUGCUGCUGUGCAUAAUAGCAUUUGUCCAUGUUCCUGUGCCCUAGAUAAGGACUCCCUUGCUUCCCCACUUCCUUUGUCUUACAGUGGGGAGUGCCCACUGCUUUUAAGAUCCUUACUUUUGGGCAAUGAAGAGACAUGUUUUUAAUUGACCACCACCUAUGUCUCCUGGACACUAGUGUACAUAGUUUCACCUGGUUUGUCCUACUCUCUCAUACCCCUUUGCAUUACAGCAGGGUUGCUGACCCCUAAGGCUCCUUUACUUGGACUGUAGUGCACAUGAUUGUAUUUGUCUGGAUUCUUGUGCACUAGAUAAAGAAUCUCCCCACCCCCCACCAUCUUUCUUUGCCUUCGAGCAGGGAUUAGCCACACAUAAAGAGUUGCAUUUAGACAAUCAAUGCUCCCAAUUGUAAUUGACCACAACUAUGAAUCUUGGACAUUUAUAUACACAUGGUUCAUUCCAUUUGAGUAAGACCGUACCUCUCAGACCUCUUGCAGUAUAGCGGAGAUGCUAGCCACUGAGACUUAUAUCUUUUCUUGGCCUUUUAUUGUGCAUUAAUUGCAUUUGCCCAUGUUUCCUGUACCCUCUUUGCCUUACAGUUGGGAGCACCCACUGCUUUAAAGAUCCUUAUAUUUGGACCAUCAAGAGACAUGAUUUUAUCUGGCCAUGACCAUGUCCUUUGGGUGCAAAUGUAUGUAAUUUCACUUUGUUCAUCGUGUUUGACUCAGAUUCUGCUCCAUCAGAUUUUGCAUUACAGCAUGAUGGCUGACCCCAAGACCACUUUUCUUGGCUUGUUGUGCAUGAUUGUAUUUGUUAGGGUUCCUGUGCACUGGUCAAGGAACACCUCCCACCCCGCACACAUUUUCCUUUGCCUUCCAGCAGGGAAUGCCUAUAAACAAAGACAUUGCAUUUGGACUGUCAAGGUACACAGUUGUAAUUGACCACAACUGUAUAUCUUGGACAUUAAUAUGCAUAAUUGCACAAGGUUAAUUCCCUUUGGAUAAGGCCUUACCCCCUCAGACUACUUUUGCAGUACAACAGAAAUGUUGGCCUCUAAGGUCUCUUUUCUUGGUCUUUCAUUGUGCAUAAUUGCAUUUGUCCAUGUUCCUGUGCAGUAAAUAAAGACUUCCAUGCACCCCCUCACUCUCUCUGUCUUAUAGCUGGUAGUGCCCACCACUUUUUAAAUCCUUAUAUAUGGACAGUCAAGGGAUGCAAUUUAAAUUCACCACAGCAUUGUCCCUUGGACUUUAAGGUGCAUAAUUUCACAUGGUUCAUCCUAUCAGAUCAAGGUCCAGCUCCCUCAGACCCCUUUGUAUUACAGCAGGGUUGCUGACCCAGAGGCCCCUUUACUUGGGACUGUAGUGCACAUGACUUUUUCUUCUGGAUUCCUAUACACUAGACAAGGAAAGCCGCCCCUCCAACCCAUCUGUCUUUGCCUUUUAGCAAGGAAUGCUGCCCCUACCUAAAGAUACUGGAUUUGGACAGUCAAGGUGCACAAUUGUAAUAGACCAUGGUAAUAUGUCUUGGACCUUAAUGUCCAUAAUUGCACAUGGUUAAUUCCAGUUGAAUAAGAUCUUACCCCUUCAGACCACUUUUGAAGUAGUACGGCAGGGAUGCUGGCCACUAAGGCCUGUUUUCUCGGCCUGUUAUCAUGCGUAAUUAACCUGUCCAUGUUUCUGUGUGCUGGAUGAGGACCUCCCCACUACCCCACUCCCUGUUUUAUAGCUGGGAGUACCCACUACUUUUGAAGUCUUUAUAUAUGGACGGUUAAGGGAUAUGAUUUUAAUUGACCACAACCACAUCCCUUGGACUUGAUUGUACAUAAUUUUACCUGUUUCAUCCUAUUAGACUGAGAUGCUACUCCCUCAGUCCCCUUUUGUAUUACAGCAGGGUUGCUGACCCUUAAGGCCCCUUUAUUGGGACUGUAGUGCACAUGAUUGUAUUUGUCUGGGCCCUUAUGCUCUAGACAAGGAAAGCCCCAACCCUUCCUCAUUUUCUUUUGACUUCAAGCAGUGAAUGCCUUACCCAAGAUACUACAUUUGGGCAGUUCAGAUGCACAAUUGUAAUUGACCAUAACAAUACAUCUUGGACAUUAACAUGCAUACGUGCACGUGGUUAAUUCCAGUUGAAUAGGUUCCUAACCCCUCAUGCUACUUUUACAGUAGUACAGCAGGGAUGCUGGCCACUAAGGCCCCUUUUCUUGGUCUCUUAUUGUGCAUAAUUGCAUUGUCCAUGUUCCUGUGCACUAGAUAAAGACCACCCCAUUGCCCCAUUCCCUUUGACUUAUAGCUGGGAGUGCUCACUACUUUUAAAAUCCUUAGGGACAUGGUUUUAUGACCACCACCAUAUACCUUGGACUUUACAUAAUUUCACGUGGUUCAUCCUAUUAGACUGAGGUCCUACUCCCUUAGCCCCUUUUAUGUUACAGCAGAGUUGCUGACCCCUAAGGCCCCUUUACUUGGGACUGUAGUGCACAUGAUUGUAUUUGUCUGGGAUCUUAUAUUCUAGACAGGGAAAGCCCCAACCCUUUUCCAUCUUCCUUUGUCUUUAAACAAGGAAUAUCCCAACCUAAAGAUGUUAGAUUUGGACAGUCAAGGAGCACAGUUGUAAUUUACCACAACAAUAUAUCUUGGACAUUAAUGUGCAUAAUUGCACAUUGAAUAAGAUCUAACCUUGGUACAGCAGGGUUACUGGCCUCUAAGGCCUCUUUUCGUGGUCAUUUGUUGUCCAUAAUUGCAUUUGUCAUAUUACUGUGCACUAGAGACUUCCCUGCCACCCCCCCCCCCCCAACUCCCCUUGUCUUACAGCUUGGAGUUCCCACUACCUUUAAGAUCUUUACAUUUGGGCAGUCAAGGGAUGGUUUUAAUUGACCCAGGUCAUCCUACUAGAUUGAGGUCCAAUUCUCUCAUACCCAUUUGUAUUACAGCAGGAUUGCUGAGCCCUAAGGCACCUUUACUUGGACUGUAGUGCACAUUAUUGCAUUUGACCGGGUUCCUGUGUACUAGACAAGAAAGUACCCUCCUCACCCUUAUCUUCCUCCACCUUCCAGCAGGAAAUGUCUCCUACAUAAUACCUUUACAUUUGGACAGUCAAGGUGCACCACUGUAAUAGACCACACCUAUGCCCCUUGAACAUUAAUGUACAUAAUUUCACCUGGUUCACUCAAUUUGAAAAAGAUCCUUUUCUCUCAAACACCUUUUGGAGUAUAGCAGGGAUGCUGGACUGUGAGACCUCUUGGCCUGCUAUUGUGUAUAAUUGCAUUUGCCCAUGUUCCUAGGUGCUAGAUAAGGACCUCUCCACUGCCCCACCCCCCACUUGAGAGUGCCCACUACUUUUAAGAUCUUUAUGUUUGGACAGUCGAAAGACAGGGUUUUAAUUAAGCACAAUUAUGUCUUUGGGCACUAAUGAGCACAAUUGCAUGUGGUUCAUCCUGUUUGAGUAAGGUGCUAUCACCUGUUUUCCAGUAUGUGAUGUCCACUGUUUAAGACCCUUACAUUUGGCCAGUUAAUGCACAUAAUUGUAGUUGUUCACAACUCAUCAUCUCUUGGAUCUUUGUCCCUCCUUGCGUUACUGCAGGGAGUACUCUUUCUUUUCCCCCCCAAGGCCCAUUAUAGUAGACUGUUAAAAUGCCUAAUUGCCAAUUAUUGUGAUCUUCAUCAUUACGCUAAACAGAUAUCCGUUCACACUCCCUUUGCAAUUCAGAAGGUUGUCCUGAUUAACCAAGGCCCUCUUUUGGACUGGUAAUGUGUGUAAUUGCAUUUAUUCUUGGGUUAUGCACUGUUCUGUCCACCUACCUCAUGAGCAUUUCCAGAAGAUGGUAGUGCCUACUACUCAAGACCCUUUCACUUGGAAUGUUAAUGUGCAUAAACACAGUUUUUCUAAAAGCAUGUUUUAUACUAAAAUCCAUCAGCCUCUUUGCUUUAUAGCAAGUGGAUGCUGUUCACCUCAUGCCCCUUCCUUUGGACUGUAACAUGCAUAAUUGGAAUUGUCCAUCUCUUUGUUGGACUAGAAUUCCGUUCCCUUAUACCUUCUUUACAUUAGGGGUGUGUUAAUCCAUGUAUGAGCCCUUUUCUUGGAACUAUUAAUGUGUAUUAUUUGUCUGUGGACCUAUGCAGUAGAAAAGGACCGUGUCCUCCAAGUACCUUUGGAUUGCUGUUGAGGAGUGCUAAUUAUUCAUGGCCUCAGCUCGUGGACAAUUAAUAUGCACUAAUGACAGUUGUCAAGAAUACCAGUCCUUACAGAAGAUCCUUAUGCCUUCUGUGUAUAUCAGGGACACUGACUUCCUAAGGUCCUUUUUCUUUAACUGUUAAUGUGAAUAUUUGCCAUUAUCCAGGCCUCUUUCUGUUAGGCUAGGAUACCAUCCUCUCACACCCCCUUUGCAUUGCUGCAGGGUGGCUGCUGACACGUCAAGACCUAUUCUGGGACUGUUAAUGGGCACACUGGCAAUUGCCAGUUUCUUCCCUGCCCUUGUUAGGCAAGCACUCCCAAUCCCACCCAAUUUCCCACAGCAUAAUGAAGUACAAACAUUUUAGUUGGCUAUGCUAUUGUCCAUCAAAUAGGGACUCCCACUCUUUGUAUUAUUCAUGUGCAUAAAAUGCCAAUUAUUCAGUCUCACCCUUUAUCAAGGCCUUCUCUCUCCCCACCUCUUUGUACCCUUUUUAUGAACUGUUAAUGCUAACCAUUUCAGAUGUCCAUGUAUCUAGCUAUUUAAGGUUAUGCUGUCCCAUGCCCCUCCCUUCCCCCAUCCCCUGCCCUUUUGCAUUGCUGCUGGGGCAUGUUAACUGGACAAGGUCCUCUCUCGUGGACUUAAAAGGUUAACAGUUCCAAAGGUCAUUGGUUUACCCACUUUGUAUUGCCGUAAUACUUCAGUUGCACUUGCCCUGGUCCAGCCCAUUAAACAUGGAUCUCUCUACUUCCUUCUUUGCAUUGCUUCAGGGCAGUAUAACUACCCAAAACCCCUUCUGUGUUAAUGAACACAAUACCAUUUGUCUCAUAUUUCAACCCAUCAGUCCAAGAACACCCUACCACUUUGGUGUUGUGCUGUGUUUGUGCAGUGGUGACUACCAAAAGCAGGCCUGGAUUAGGUGGCUAGACCUUCCUCUUUUUCCUGCAUUGUUAAUAGUCCCAACUCCAAUGAUUAAUUGUUAUAUCACUGGGGGCAGGAGCCAUCGCUUCCCACCUCUAUUAUUGCUUUCCUGUGCAAAAUACUCAAGGCAAGUCAGGCCCAGGGAGCUGGAUUGCCACUUAUUUAUUUGGGGGUUUUCCGUAUACAGUAUGAAUUGAAAAUAGUCUCCACAGGAAGGUAAAUUCGCCCUUCCUCCAUUCUUCUCCCAGAGCAGAUUGCCUUGCUAAGAAUCUGUCCUCUCUGUGUAUUUCAGUUGUGCAAUGCCAGUUGCUAGGAUAGAACCAGAAAAAUUGGUUUUAAGUAUUUGUUUUUUAAAAAAGAUAUUUGGAUUGCCAGUUGGAAUUUGAUUACCUGGACACUGAUUUUUUGAAGUUGAGGAGCCCUUUUAUACCAUGCACCUGAUGACCAGUGUCUCUCAUUUUAUGGAGGGUGGUGGGUUUGUGGAUAGACCACUGUGACUUCUACCAUUUUAAUAUUUAAUCAAAGAAGUUCUAGAGUGGAACUCUUUAAGAAUAGUCCCUUCAUUUGGGUUCUGUCACCAUUUUAAAGCCAAUUCUUGUUUGGGCAUUACCACCACUCACUUUCAAAAAAACUGUCUAAACUUGCUAGCCCAAACAGAGCCCCAACCCUUAUUUCAAGAGGGUUGCUAUAAAAAGAUUAAAUGAGAGAAUGUAUGCUGAGAUGAUUUUGUAAACUCUAGAACACCUGAUUUGAUUGAUGGAUUGCAUAAUAUGCACCGUUUAAUUCUGCCAAUAAUUUGAAAUAGACUAAAGUACCACACCAAAGUGAGGACCUGUCUUAGAAAUGAUGGGACCUGUUUCCCUGUUUUAUAGUAUGAGGAAAAUAAGCCAAGAUCUAAUCAUUCUUCUGUACAUCAACAGUGAGAACUGCCUGGUAAACAUGAAUAAUAUCCCAGCCUCUAGUGUAUAGGGUGUUUUGUGGCAGAGGAGUGUUUAAUAUGGGACUGCUGAAGCAAAUAACUAGUCAUUACAGCAGCAGUUCUUUGUAAUCAGAAACAAGGAUACUAUUCCUCUGAGAAAGAUGUCAAAACAUCGGCCCAGCUCAGAGUGCACUUUUCACUACUUGCUCCUUGGACAGCUGUAAGAAGAGUCUCUGGCCCUUUAGAAUACUGUACCUUGAUGAGCUUAAAGCAGCUUAGCCUCCUGUUAAAAUAAAAGCAACUUAGCCUCCUUGAUGUAAAACAGACAUAAAAGUCCAGCUGAAAAAAUGUUCCUUAAUCUAAAACCUGAAACUUUUUACGUACAUACAUGUACCUUAGCAGGAACAACAAGAACUAUGGAUGAACUCAGAGCCGGUCUGUAUUCCCACUCGAGGAAAGUUGGAUUGAUUGUAGGUGGAUAGAAGCCUGAAGCCAGAGGAUGAUCUGAGCAUGUGAGACCUGAGGACUGCAUGCAGUUCUAAGAGGCUCCAAAUUCAGCAUAUCUUUCCUUUCAAGAGUCUGGAUGAACUCCAACUAGUCUAGGAGGAUGGUUUGCAGACCACCUGGAGAAAAAGGUGGAGAUGGGUGUGAGGAUCCUCCAGGGGAAAAGCUCACUACUACUGGGCAGCAACUCUAGGUCAGAAGGUUCUACCAAAAUACUUUCUGGGCUCAAAGAGGAAGAUGAAGUUACAAGACACAACCAGCACACAUUAGAAAGAAGUUGGGCUGCAUCUGCCACAUGAACAACAUUGAUCAUGGGCAAAUCAUCGUUUUGUUCCACCUGGUUCUGAAAGUCUGCCUUGAGGACCUGCAGGAGAAUUUUGUAGUUAUUUACUUUCUUCAAGAUACCUUGGGAUGUCCAUGGGAUAAAACCCACAUCGAGCUGUUUUGAGAAGCUCUUGAUAGUUCCCUCAGUAUCUGCUAAAUCAUCAUUACCAAAAGCAGUGCAUAUAGAGCUGGGGCUUUCAGCAGGAUCAAGAGCUUUGAAAACACCAAAGGAAGUCAGCCUUCCUACCUGAAGAUCAGCAUGCCUGGCACUCCAGCAUUUUAGAAUAGCAGAAUGAAUAUGUAUUCCUUUUCUUGUCUAUUUCUUCCUUGAGUGCCUUUCUUUUUUCUUCUGAAUCUAAAAUGCAUUUUAUCCAUUUCCAUGAUUCUUUUGCUAGUUUGUUCUCUGUGUGCCUUUGUGUCAUUUUCUUUUUGUUUCUAAGAGUUGUCUGUGCCUUGUCUUAGAUGUAUAUCUCUAAUUUUUCAUUUUGUUGCUGCUUCUCUGCUCUCCCAGAAUUGGCUUGUCUUUGACUGCUCCUUUUGUGUCUCCUCUCUUGAGUCUCAUGCUGUGUGCUUUUUGCUCUUUUCUUCUUCUGCCUACCUCUUUUUGUGUCUGUGAAUUCUGAUUGUCACCUCCUUCCUUUCUUGUUGCUUUGUCUUCUCACCUUUUUCUGAUUCUGGUCUUGCUUCUGCUAUUUCUAGUCCUCAUCUCUCAUUUCUCUUUUCUACAUUUCCUCUCUGCUUCCCACUGGGCAAUUUUCUCCCC